AAGCAAAUCUAACACUAUAUUAUUAAUUGUAAUUGUAUUGCGAAAUGUUCUCUUUUCCGAAUCUACAAGAAUCUCAAAUAUCUGUUUUAGAAUGAAUCCAUCCAAGUUGCUUAAUUUUGGAAUAUUAAAUCAAUAUGCUAACUCAAACUAUGAUAUUAAUUGCGCAAUUUGUACAGAAUGCAAGAAUUGGUUGACUGGAGAGAUAUUUCUGUAUUCGGAUCAAACAUAUUGCGAAAUAUGUUCUAUACUACAACACAAUGACUCUCGACGUGAUAUUGCCUUAGAAAGUGUGCUAAACCAAUUUCUUUUUCCAUGCAAGUAUUAUGAUUGUGACUACAUCUUGAAGAGGAGCCAAGUUGAUGAACAUACAAGAAAUUGCAAACAUAGGCAAUUUGAUUGCAAUUUCUGCAAUAUGGAAGGUAUCAGUUUAAAUAAAUAUGAAGACCAUCUCAAAAGCAACCACAAGGAUAAAAUAAUCGACCUGGACAAGCCAAUUUUAAAACAUACGCUGGACGCAGCAACUAAAAAUGAAAUUUUAAUUGCUUGCCUGAACCAACAUACUUUUCUAAUUCACAUUAAACGAGACGAAUCUAAAUUAAGUGUGAAUAUUGCACGUAUUGAAACAUAUGUUGACUCAAAUAUAAAUAAUAACUUUACAGUUGGUUACAAAAACGAUGAACUAAAACACAAGCAGUUCACAGUGCUGUCCGCCAUUAGGUAUAAUUCAAAUCCUAACAUUGAUAUUGACGUUCCGCAGAAUGGAAAUCUUUUGUUAAACAUUUCUUUAUGUGGGUUUGAAAAAGUGCUCCAAUUGCCAGAGUGUCCAAUUUGCAAUUAUGAGUUAAAGUUAAAAAUCUAUCAAUGUUCAAAUGGACAUAACGUGUGCAAUGGAUGUGGGAAGAAAUUGAACAUAUGUGCAAUAUGUCGAGACACCUUGAGUGUUGUAAACCUGCGUUACUUAUUUCCAAGUACAUUAUUAAUGUUAUGUACAAACUAUGAGAAUGGCUGUCUGAAAAUUGGCAAUGUAGAUGAUUUAGAUGAACACAUCAAGAAUUGCCUUUAUGCCCCUAUAAAAUGUAUUGAGUGCCAGCAGGAAUGUUCGAGACGUAAUAUUUUAACACAUUUUAAAGAAAAGCACACAGUCUACAGAAACUAUGUUCCUUUACUCGUAUUGAUAAAAGAAGUAUUUGUUUCAAAUUAUCAUAUAUAUUAUUCUUUUAAAAAUCAAUUAUUUACAGUUAAUUUUAAAACUACUGGAAGUGGUAAUAAGCUGAAAAUAUGUUUCACGGUGCGAUUAUUAUACAAUGAAAAUAUUGACGUAGCUGCAAGAUACAGAUAUGAAAUUCAUAUAGAACAGAGUUAUUUUAGUAAACCUAUUUAUACAAUGAAAGGAGUAUGUCAAGUCGAAAGUGAUAAAGAUACAUCAUCAUGGAUUUAUUACAAACUAUGUCCUAUAAAAUUUAACAAAAAUAAUGAAUCAUAUUUUAGGUUUAUGUUUGUAUUUGUAGAUGAAAAUGAUAACAUGUAAAAUGAAUUGUAAUAACACUAUAUUGUAUGUAAUUAUAAAACCUAUUAUAUUCUAUCUAAUUAUAUGUAACACUAGUACUUGAAAUUUGAGUAGUUUAAUCACGUUUAAUCAUAGCAGUAACGCUUGUGCGGCUAAUAGGUAUAAUUUUAAACUGUGUUUUGACACUUAUAUAAUUUUAUAAAACAAACAAAAAUGUCAAAUUCAUUUAAAAUGUCAAAAGCCUUCAAUAAAAAUGCAAAACGCGGACAAUAAUGGAACUACUCCAGAGCCAGUUUUCAAAGGUGAAAUUUAUACCCGUCGCAAUUAUUUCGAAGAUGGACGUCGCAAAAUCGAUUUCGUUCUUGUCUCCAGUAUCAUCAAACUACCCUCAGAACUGGAUACUCUUACCUUUUUUAUGACGGAGUUAAUCAAAUCAGGAAUUCAAUAUGAAAUAUCACCGGGAGACGCUGCACCAAAUUUGGUUUUCAUCAAACUACAUUGUCCCAGGCAUGUUUUGGAAGAAUACGCCAAUUAUCAACACUUUAUUUUUGAUUAUAAAAACCCACGGAUCCUACGCCGACGAAAUUGCUUCUUUCCUUGGAGUAUUUUCCACAAUGUCACAACGGAGAUUUGAACUGAUGAUCCGUCCUACAAUCGGGCGUUCGGUAGUUUGUCGAGUAACAAAGUACGACACAUCACCAGUUGGGAACGGUCGUUAUUAGGGUGGGGGUUGGUGGUUGGGUAAGCUACAGCCACGAAGUAUAGAUAAAAGGAGUCCGAACGGUGUAGGCUUUUUCGUCGUAGUCAUGGUUCACAAUUAUAUACAAAGCUAAUAGUUCACCUUUCUGCCACUGGGUGCGCUUGAAUCACUAGUGAAUCGAUGUACGUUGGUUCGUGUUCAUAGCAACAUUGAGACAAUUUGUUUACAUGACGUUCGUGUGUUUAGAUACUUCGUGAUUAUUAUUACACAUGAACACGUGCUGGAUUGUGAAUGUUUAAUUGAAUUCAAUUAAAUUUACAAAUACAUUUUUAACUUUUAUAUGUAUGUAUACAUUAAUUUGAAUUGGAACGUGAUAGUAUUAUUUUUUUGAACUAAUUUAUUUAUUGAAAAUUAGUAGUGUUGAAAACAUGGGAAGGUGUUGUGCAAUUCCAGGAUGUUUUAGUGGCCGAA